GUGAGACAGGUGCUGCAUGGCUGUCGUCAGCUCGUGUUGUGAAAUGUUGGGUUAAGUCCCGCAACGAGCGCAACCCUUAUCCUUUGUUGCCAGCGGUCCGGUCGGGAACUCAAAGGAGACUGCCAGUGAUAAACUGGAGGAAGGUGGGGAUGACGUCAAGUCAUCAUGGCCCUUACGACCAGGGCUACACACGUGCUACAAUGGCGCAUACAAAGAGAAGCGACCUCGCGAGAGCAAGCGGACCUCAUAAAGUGCGUCGUAGUCCGGAUUGGAGUCUGCAACUCGACUCCAUGAAGUCGGAAUCGCUAGUAAUCGUGGAUCAGAAUGCCACGGUGAAUACGUUCCCGGGCCUUGUACACACCGCCCGUCACACCAUGGGAGUGGGUUGCAAAAGAAGUAGGUAGCUUAACCUUCGGGAGGGCGCUUACCACUUUGUGAUUCAUGACUGGGGUGAAGUCGUAACAAGGUAACCGUAGGGGAACCUGCGGUUGGAUCACCUCCUUACCUGAAAGAA
rnacentral:rRNA from 1 species